rnacentral:rRNA from 1 species
GAUGAACGCUGGCGGCGUGCCUAAUACAUGCAAGUCGAGCGAACAGACGAGGAGCUUGCUCCUCUGACGUUAGCGGCGGACGGGUGAGUAACACGUGGAUAACCUACCUAUAAGACUGGGAUAACUUCGGGAAACCGGAGCUAAUACCGGAUAAUAUAUUGAACCGCAUGGUUCAAUAGUGAAAGACGGUUUUGCUGUCACUUAUAGAUGGAUCCGCGCCGCAUUAGCUAGUUGGUAAGGUAACGGCUUACCAAGGCAACGAUGCGUAGCCGACCUGAGAGGGUGGUCGGCCACACUGGAACUGAGACACGGUCCAGACUCCUACGGGAGGCAGCAGUAGGGAAUCUUCCGCAAUAGGCGAAAGCUUGACGGAGCAACGCCGCGUGAGUGAUGAAGGUCUUCGGAUCGUAAAACUCUGUUAUUAGGGAAGAACAAAUGUGUAAGUAACUAUGCACGUCUUGACGGUACCUAAUCAGAAAGCCACGGCUAACUACGUG